rnacentral:rRNA from 1 species
GGGUUGUGAGGUUAAGCGACUAAGCGUACACGGUGGAUGCCCUGGCAGUCAGAGGCGAUGAAGGACGUGCUAAUCUGCGAUAAGCGUCGGUAAGGUGAUAUGAACCGUUAUAACCGGCGAUUUCCGAAUGGGGAAACCCAGUGUGUUUCGACACACUAUCAUUAACUGAAUCCAUAGGUUAAUGAGGCGAACCGGGGGAACUGAAACAUCUAAGUACCCCGAGGAAAAGAAAUCAACCGAGAUUCCCCCAGUAGCGGCGAGCGAACGGGGAGGAGCCCAGAGCCUGAAUCAGUGUGUGUGUUAGUGGAAGCGUCUGGAAAGGCGCGCGAUACAGGGUGACAGCCCCGUACACAAAAAUGCACAUGCUGUGAGCUCGAUGAGUAGGGCGGGACACGUGGUAUCCUGUCUGAAUAUGGGGGGACCAUCCUCCAAGGCUAAAUACUCCUGACUGACCGAUAGUGAACCAGUACCGUGAGGGAAAGGCGAAAAGAACCCCGGCGAGGGGAGUGAAAAAGAACCUGAAACCGUGUACGUACAAGCAGUGGGAGCACGCUUAGGCGUGUGACUGCGUACCUUUUGUAUAAUGGGUCAGCGACUUAUAUUCUGUAGCAAGGUUAACCGAAUAGGGGAGCCGAAGGGAAACCGAGUCUUAACUGGGCGUUAAGUUGCAGGGUAUAGACCCGAAACCCGGUGAUCUAGCCAUGGGCAGGUUGAAGGUUGGGUAACACUAACUGGAGGACCGAACCGACUAAUGUUGAAAAAUUAGCGGAUGACUUGUGGCUGGGGGUGAAAGGCCAAUCAAACCGGGAGAUAGCUGGUUCUCCCCGAAAGCUAUUUAGGUAGCGCCUCGUGAAUUCAUCUCCGGGGGUAGAGCACUGUUUCGGCAAGGGGGUCAUCCCGACUUACCAACCCGAUGCAAACUGCGAAUACCGGAGAAUGUUAUCACGGGAGA